UACAUGGGGUGCAAACGUUGCUCGGAAUCAUUGGGCGUAAAGCGCGCGUAGGCGGUUACUUAAGUCGAAUGUGAAAGCCCUCGGCUUAACUGAGGAAGUGCAUCCGAAACUGAGUAGCUAGAGUACGAAAGAGGGUCGCGGAAUUCCCGGUGUAGAGGUGAAAUUCGUAGAUAUCGGGAGGAACCCCGGUGGCGAAGGCGGCGACCUGGGUCGAGACUGACGCUGAGGCGCGAAAGCGUGGGGAGCAAACAGG
rnacentral:rRNA from 1 species